GACAUAGCCUGUAGUUUGAGUUUGAGUUUGAGGUUCUACCUGCGUCCGGCUUCGGGGAAAUUCAGUGGAUUUGUUUCAUUAAAUGAACCCCAAUUGUUUAUUUUCAAAAGUUUUUAUUACUCACUUGUGCAUGCAUUUUUUAUUUACAUGGACAACAUAGCUUUUGCAGCAAUCCUUCUUACACACCUUCACAGCAAGGACACAUAAUAUACCAUUGGCCCAAAAUAAGUGGGUGGAAUUUGUCUGUAACAAACUUACAAUAUAUUCUCUCUACUCUGACUGGAGCGCAUCACU
rnacentral:lncRNA from 1 species